rnacentral:tRNA from 1 species
GGGCAUUUAGCUCAGCUGGUUCAGAGCGUUCGCCUCACACGCGAGAGGUCAUAGGUUCAAAUCCUAUAAUGCCCA